AGUGAACGCUGGCGGUAGGCCUAACACAUGCAAGUCGAACGGCAGCACAGUAAGAGCUUGCUCUUACGGGUGGCGAGUGGCGGACGGGUGAGGAAUACAUCGGAAUCUACUUUUUCGUGGGGGAUAACGUGGGGAAACUUACGCUAAUACCGCAUACGACCUACGGGUGAAAGCAGGGGAUCUUCGGACCUUGCGCGAUUGAAUGAGCCGAUGUCGGAUUAGCUAGUUGGCGGGGUAAAGGCCCACCAAGGCGACGAUCCGUAGCUGGUCUGAGAGGAUGAUCAGCCACACUGGAAGUGAGACACGGUCCAGACUCCUACGGGAGGCAGCAGUGGGGAAUAUUGGACAAUGGGCGCAAGCCUGAUCCAGCCAUACCGCGUGGGUGAAGAAGGCCUUCGGGUUGUAAAGCCCUUUUGUUGGGAAAGAAAAGCAGCAGGUUAAUACCCCGCUGUUCUGACGGUACCCAAAGAAUAAGCACCGGCUAACUUCGUG
rnacentral:rRNA from 1 species